rnacentral:rRNA from 1 species
GUGGAUUAGAUACCCUGGUAGUCUACGCUGUAAACGAUGGAUACUAGCAGUCUCGGGUAUCGACCCCUGGAGUUGCGAAGCUAACGCGUUAAGUAUCCCACCUGUGUAGUACGAUCGCAAGAUUAAAACAUAAAGGAAUUGACGGGGACCCGCACAAGCGGUGGAGCGUGAUCUUUAAUUCGAUGGUAAACGAUAAACCUUACCAAGGCUUGACAUCUCGGGAAGGCUUCCGAAAGGAAACUGUGCCCUUGGGAACCCGAAGACAGGUGAUGCAUGGCCGUCGUCAACU